GGACUACAGGGGUAUCUAAUCCUGUUUGCUCCCCACGCUUUCGCGCAUCAGCGUCAGAACCGGUCCAGGUGGCCGCCUUCGCCACUGGUGUUCCUCCCAAUAUCUACGCAUUUCACCGCUACACUGGGAAUUCCGCCACCCCCUCCCGGCCUCAAGCCUGACAGUUUCAAAGGCAAUUCCUCAGUUGAGCCGAGGGAUUUCACCUUUGACUUAUCAGGCCGCCUACGCGCCCUUUACGCCCAAUAAUUCCGAAUAACGCUCGCCCCCUCCGUAUUACCGCGGCUGCUGGCAC
rnacentral:rRNA from 1 species